ensembl:lncRNA
CCUCACCUUCCAGCUCUUCCCACUUCUAAAGAGGGGAUCCCGGCUGCUUGCUUUGCCUGCUCCGCACCCGCAGCCGCCAGCUGCCCGCCGGCCCCACGCACUGCGGGCUCCUCUGACAUCAAACCACGGUUUUCUCCAGAAAAGAGCGAGCGCAAACAAAGUGCCCUGCCUCCAUCCUUGGCACUGCGAACCUACGUGCCAGACUUGUGUCCACCACGAGGACCCAGAGCCCCUCCGCUGGACCUUGCAGCAUCUAUUCCGCCCCAAGUGUGCAAACAAAGCAGCCUGAGUUUGCUGAAAUUCCCCCUAAUUCACGCUGCGGCAGAUGAACGGGCAGCCUCCUUUUCUUUUCCGAGCUAACAGAUUCCUAAAUGCCACUGUCCUGUUUUCCUUCCUUUCUGCAAAACCGCAGGAUGCAGUCUGGUAUCUCAUCAUCAGCUCCCCUCGGUGCCCUGCCCUCGGUUUAUGAAUUUUCACUUAAGUCAAGUUAACCAAGUAAUGCCGCGUACACAUCUGAAUCAUUCCUUGGUUAUUUCCUUCUGUGAUUUCAAUCCUCUGUUUCUAAUCAAAUUAUGAAACUAAAUUUCCACUUAUCAUGUGACUAUCGGGGCAUCUGUUCAUAAUCUGUCCAAUUCCUACAAAUACUCCUUUCUUUAGCUUUUGGAAAUUUGGCAGCUCUCUGCAAAAUCUUCUCCGUGUCAUUUGCGCCCGGUGCUUCUCUCUAAUGCCAAGUGUAAAUUGCAAACCACGGAUGGCAAACACAGGGAAACCAUUUCCGUGGCUUUCACCGGGAAUGUUUUCAAGCAAAGGUACCGCUGUCCCAUUUUCUAAACCAACAAUAAUUCUGAAAAGCGUUUGCUGAAAAUUUCUGACUUUCGAGGGACAAAGGAACUCCUCGCACACAGACCCCAUUUUUCGCAGGGCUUUCUUUCCUCAGGAGCACUCUGCGCGCAUGAAGGGAGGGAGACCUCAGCGCCUUCGUUUUCCUCCUCUGUCUGACAGCACAGAACCUUUUGUUGCGCUCCCCCCACUUGCAGGGCAGCACUUCGGCUGCUGUGCUCCUCUUCUGGCGCUGACCUUUUCCAUUAGGAGACGCUCGCAGGACUGAGCACAACCUGAGCGCAACCACCGACCUCCCGACGCUCCCCCAUUGUGUCAGCAUGGCGCUGAGCAGGGAGCGCUCCCACACCUCCCCAGCGCUCAGCAGCCUCGGAACAGCGAGGGCUUCAGAUCUGCCCUGCACCCAUUUUCCUCGUCUAUUUCAGGAAGAAAUGAUAAAAAGUGAUUCAACGGAACCAAAAAUCUGAAGGAAAGAGGGAUUCCUCCUCCGCUGAGCAGUCUGCUCUCUUUGUGACUCUCUCAUACAGAGCUUCUGCUCAACGGCUCAGGGGUGGAAAGAGCGCCUUUGAAGUGACCACUCUCACAGUUCCACAGCUGCGAAGAGCAGCAGCAAGGCGUGCCUGUAUGUGAUGCACAGCAUCAGUGUGCUGGUGCACAACUACGUGCACAAAUAAAAACGGGUGUCCCACACCACCUCCUGAUGCUCCCCACCGCUGCUGGCCAAGGAGCAGCGCCCAGCCCAGGCCCCUGUGCCUGACCCAUAACUGACCCACGCCCCAUAAGUGGUCCCAGUGCCCCAUACCCAGACCCAGUGCCCUGCACCUGAUCCCAACAUCCUGCACCUGGCCGCAGUGCUCGGUAACCAGAACCAGAGCCCCACACCUGGCCCCAGCACCCCAUGCCGGGCCCCAAGCUCCCGAGCCGGGUUUGAUCCCUUUGUGCAGUUGGGAUCUCCACUCAAUCAUCUGCAGUCUUUCAUAACGCUGCUCUCAUUCGCACAGCAAAAGCCAGUCGGAUGAUUAGAGCCUUUCAAAACACUCCUCAGUCCAAAUAACGCCCACAGCAGUGUCCCAGCAGCUGACCAGUAGCAAGAAGGGCAGGAACCCAAGGCCUGGGACAGAACGGGCAGCCCACGAGGGCCUACGGAGCCCUGACAUCACCCAGCAAAGCACCGUGCUGCUUCCUGCUCUGCCCUGGCAUUUGAUGAGGAGAACAGGGAUGGGUAAGCCGAUGGAGACGUUGGUCAGCACCCAUGGUUGGUGGGUAGAAGGGCUCCCGUGGAGCUGGCUGUGCCUGGCGGUGCUGGGACUCGGGGACACCUCACAUCUCCAGAGCCUCUCCUGAGCAGAGUGACGCUUCGGCCAUGGAGCAGCAGGGAUACGGCACAGCUGGGACCUUCAGCAACCACAGGCAGUGGGCACACAGACAACGCACCUCAGUGCACACUGCAGCACCGCAGAACAACGUCUGUAAGACUUUGCAAUGCCAGAGAUGAGGCAGCUGAGAGCUGUGGCACUACUGAUGCUGCAGAACUGCGGCCCGACGGCUGAGCAGCACUGACCUGAGCACAUGGAGCUGCAGCCUGGGGAGGACCCUCCAAAGUGACUCGGGUUUUGGGAGCUGGCGAACAAACAAAGCUUUGCAGUGGCUUUACAGAACAGCACAAGCAAACGUUUGCUGCAUCACAGGGAGCCCAAGUGACACACGGGGCCUUUUUUGUCCAGAAAUCCAUCCACGCCUCUUUCAAUGAGGAACAUACGCUCGGGGCGCGUUGUUACACGUUUCACUAUAAGAAAAAGUGCACGGUGUCAAUCUGCUGUCACACGGCACAACACGGGUGUGUAACAGCAUCAGUCAGAACGGGGCUGACAGCGAUCAGAUCGAAGCAGUGUCUGCCGCUUUGUGUACGGAGCCGCUCCCAAACCCCACAGCCCCGAUCCUCACCGCAGCUCCCAGCACACCAUCCCUAGCGGUGCUGAUGCACUGAACAGGUUGCCCAAGGAGGCUGUGGAUGCCCCAUCCCUGGAGGCAUUCAAGGCCAGGCUGAAUGUGGCUCUGGGCAGCCUGGGCUGGUGGUUGGCGACCCUGCACAUAGCAGGGGGUUGGAACGAGAUGAUCCUUGUGGUCCUUUUCAACCCAGGCCAUUCUAUGAUUAUGAUUCCAUAACCCUGUGACUGCGCAGCACCGAAGCUGAGAGCACCUCCAAGAGCCCACUUUGCCCAACACCCCAAACCCGGUGCCACCUGGCAGGGAUCAGCACUGUGGUCAUUUACAAGGGGAGACAUGCAGGAGGUGGAGCACUGAUGACACGCAGGAACCAACGCCGUGCAGAGAAAGGCAGUUUUGCACAGUUCUUCCCUGAGACAAAUCCCAACGGCUUGCAGGCAAGAACUCCUGAGCCACGCUCUGCU